AGGGUGCUGGCGCAGUGGUAGUGCUCUUGAUUUCUGUUCAGGAGGUCAUCGGUUCGAAUCCGGUGCACCCAU
rnacentral:tRNA from 1 species